rnacentral:SRP_RNA from 1 species
UGUUGGUUCUUCUGCAAUGUUAAAUUGUUAACCUGGUCAGGUCUGGAAAGAAGCAGCCACUGCAACGGAUACAUGUGCCGGAAUGUAACUAACAGGG